rnacentral:tRNA from 1 species
GGGCAGAUACUCAAGCGGAUUAAGAGGUUGGUCUGCAACACCAAUAUUCAUGAGUUCGAAUCUCAUUCUGCCCUCCA